rnacentral:misc_RNA from 1 species
CAAAAUCAUAAGAACGAAGAUACGUUAACACAACAAGACGCUCCCCAUAAAAAUACAGUAAACGAGAUACAAGAUAUGCAUUUAACUUUAGGCAUAAAUUAAUACGAUAAGAUUGAAGUAGUUAAACAACAAGAUUUGAUUUUCAUAGCCAAUCUUGUUCUUGCAGCUUCAAUGGCAAAUAUACUUCGGACAGAUACUGAAAUCCAAACGAACUCAACGCCUGAAUCUCAGCCUUUUGCUUAGUCUUCACCAUCAAAUUCAACUCCUCAACCCACGCGGGAUUCUUCUUCACAAAGUCCUCCUCCAACAAAUCUUUCCCAGUCUUAAUAUCCUGUUCAGUCAUUGGCAACCUACAUUGCUCCGGUAUCUUAUACUUGUCCAAAUCACUCGGUCUAAUACCCAACCACUUGAUAUCCGGGGUAGUCAGAUUCGCACUAUCAUAUGACAUAUUCUUCGAUCCACAUCCGUACACUGACAAAAUCUUCAACCCAUAAGGAUCACUAUCCACCAAUGCCAAAACCGGCAAAUUCAGCUCCAUCUUCAUCUUCCUCAGAAACAACCUAGUUGCCACAUCCGGUUGACCCUUUGCAGUCACGAUUAUACAAGGAAAUCUAUUGUAAAACCGAUCUUCAGACAAUCUCAUAAACGCAGCAUCCUUUUCGACUAACAAUAUGUACAAUGCAUCACUCUGCAUAUCACCAACUCUAUCGAUAUUCGGAGGUAUAGCUUUCCCUCCCAUUCCCAUUUUCGUACAAUCAAUCAUAUCGCCAUUGUCACUAAAAAUCAACCUUCCAACUACAACUCCUUUCUCAGCUGCAACCACAUUCAAACUAGACCUAGUACAUCCAACUAUACACGAAACAUCAUCUAAUACAGCAUCAGACUGCGUCUGAUCCUGAAACAACUUAACGUCGGUGUAGAAAAGAUCACGCUUUGUGACAUGAAUGUUACUGGUGCAAAGCUGAUGAACAAGCUGAAGGAUUCUAAGAGUAAUUGUUGCUUUACGAACAGUAGAUACAUUACCGAAGUUGCGAGCCGAUGAUUUGUCUUUGAGAACAAUGCGGUCGAGUUCGGAGACAUAGAGUUGGUUAGCGGCAGCGCGGGAAGGGACGGAGAAAGAGAAACCUUCACCGGAGAGUAUGGAUUUAGCUAUAGUAAACGCUAACGAUUCAAUUUCGGACUGUACCUCAUCGAUUGGGAGGUCGGCGACUUCACGGCAGGUAGAGGAGAGGCCGACGUCGGAGAGGGAUAGGGUUUUGGAAGUGGUGGAACAGGAGGAUUUGAGUGCUUUUAGGGUUUGGAGGAUGACGGAGUCGGGUUUGAGCUUGGAUUGGAAAGGCCGGCUUUCGGAGUCGGAAUCGGAGUCGUGAGCUGCUCGCCGGCGUUUCUUCUUGUCGGCCAUCGGCGACGGGGAUUAGGUGAAGCGGGAAAUGACAAUAAAUGUGAGGAUAAGAGUGAAGCUGUAAUAAUCACGCGUCUCCUUGUUCCGAACAAUUUGGUUGGAUGCCUUUUAGGAAGAAAAGGCGAUGUUAUUCAGAAAUUGCGAAGUGAGACUGGGGCUAGCAUUCGUGUCCUUUCUGCUGAGCAUUUGCCCGCUUGUGCUAUGACCACUGAUGAAUUGGUCCAAAUCUCAGGCAAACCUGCUUUAGUGAAAAAAGCCUUGUAUGAAGUAUCAACUCUGUUGCAUCAGAAUCCUCGAAAAGACAAACCUAUCUCGAGUUUUCCUAUGGUACAUGGUGCUCAAGGUUUUCACCCCCCUGGUCCUCCCAUGGAAAAUAUGAUUCCUCCAGGAAAACCAAUGUGGUCUCAAAGUAAAACUAAUUUAAAUGGUAUGCCGCCUGCAUUAGGGGUGGGAGGCUAUAGGAACCAGCUUACUGGAUUUGGCCGUGCAGAUUUUGAUUAUGGUCCUCCCCCUAGUGCUGGUGAAGCUCCAGGUGAUUUCACCAUGAAAAUUCUGUGCUCAGCUGCAAAAAUUGGUGGUGUUAUAGGCAAGGGAGGCUUCAAUGUAAAACAACUGCAGCAGGAAACAGGAGCAGGUAUACAUGUUGAGGAUGUCGCACCUGAAUCUGAUGAAAGAGUUAUUCGUGUCUCCUCUUUGGAGUCUUUUUGGGAUCCCAGAUCACGAACUAUUGAUGCCAUUCUCCAACUUCAAAGUAAAACAAGUGAAUUUUCUGACAAAGGAAUUGUCACUACGAGGCUUCUUUUCCCCUCAAAUAAGGUUGGCUGCAUUAUUGGACAAGGAGGACAGGUUAUCAAUGAGAUGAGAAGGAGAACACAGGCGGAUAUUCGUGUUCUUUCCAAGGACGAAAAACCCAGAUGCGCAUCUGCAGAUGAAGAGCUUGUGCAGAUAUCUGGAAGCAUCGGUGUUGCAAAAGAUGCCUUGGUUGAGAUUUCUUCAAGGCUCAGAGAAAGAUGCCUUAGGGAUGCAAAUAGUAAAGUGGAGUCUACUCAUGUUAGGCCACUUCCUGGAUUUGUUCCAUCAGAGGAUUUUCGAAGUCGAGACCCACAACGUUCAGGUGUGAUGGGGGCUGGUAGCUCUAGAAGAUAUGAACAUUUGAAGGGUGCUGUUCGUGAAUGUGACCAUCCAAGUUAUCCAGAUCUUCCCAUUGCCACUAGAUUCUCAAAUACCCGUAGUCCCCCAGAGAUGAAGUUUCCAGACCAUUCUUAUGGUACUGCAAAAGGAACAGGAGGGUACAACAUUGAUGAGUUUGCUGGAAGUAGUGCAAGAUAUCAGGAUCCUCGUUCUAUUGGACCUGGAUUCGUUGAUGAUAUUCGGGGCACUUCAGAUCGUAUGAAUGCUGGGCACAAUGUUUUUCAUGGGUCCUCCGAGAACUUGAAUGCUGGGCGGCCUACUUUCCAAGGAUACGGUUCUCCUGCUGGACAGAGCAGUAAUAUUCAUCAAGGCGCUUACCACCAGAAUUAUGCUGCUCAACAAAGUGCUUAUCAAAGUUAUCCAGCUAAAGGUGGUUACCCUAGUGGUAGUCCUUCCCAAUUGCCUUACCAGAACCCUAAUCCUCAUCAAGCUCCAUAUCAAAACAUCAACUCGCAGCAGCACCAACACCAGCAGGCGCCACCACCAUACCAGAAUAUGGCUGCACAAGGCUCCUACCAUUAUUGAUUCUCAAUACUGAGUUACUCAAAGUACCUAUGGCGGGUUUUAGUCACUUUUGUACAAUAAUUUUAAUCUCGUGUUUUGCUAUAGUUGUUGCUGAAGUGUCAGUCAUAGUGAUCUAACUUGUCGCAUUUGAUGGUUAAGAGUAUCGUUGAACACAGGUGAAGUAGUUACUGUUUGGCAAUAUUUUCAGAGACCUCGCCUUAGGUUUUUCCUGCAGCAUUCAACUUCCUUGUGGUUUUUAAGGUGUUGCAGUUAACUGCCUAAUUUGAUUUCUUUGUAAUGAGAUUGUUUUCAAAAGACAAGAAUAU